UCAUUCUAGUCAUUUGAUCAAGUAUUUUGAGAGCAUUGAAGGGGUGAGCAAAAUCAAAGACGGAUAUAACCCGGCUACUUGGAUGUUGGAA